rnacentral:rRNA from 1 species
ACGGGUGAGUAACGCGUGGGUAACCUGCCUUAUACAGGGGGAUAACAGUUGGAAACGACUGCUAAUACCGCAUAAGCGCACAGUGCUGCAUGGCACGGUGUGAAAAGAUUUAUCGGUAUAAGAUGGACCCGCGUCUGAUUAGCUAGUUGGUGAGGUAAUGGCUCACCAAGGCGACGAUCAGUAGCCGGCUUGAGAGAGUGAACGGCCACAUUGGGACUGAGACACGGCCCAAACUCCUACGGGAGGCAGCAGUGGGGAAUAUUGCACAAUGGGGGAAACCCUGAUGCAGCGACGCCGCGUGAGUGAAGAAGUAUUUCGGUAUGUAAAGCUCUAUCAGCAGGGACGAAGAAAUGACGGUACCUGACUAAGAAGCCCCGGCUAACUACGUGCCAGCAGCCGCGGUAAUACGUAGGGGGCAAGCGUUAUCCGGAUUUACUGGGUGUAAAGGGAGCGUAGACGGUGAUGUAAGUCAGAUGUGAAAGCCCAGGGCUCAACCCUGGGACUGCAUUUGAAACUAUGUGACUAGAGUGCAGGAGAGGUAAGUGGAAUUCCUAGC